GAAGAAAUUGACAGCACAUCAACACAGGAUGUCAAACUGAACAUUGGAGAACACAAACAUUGGAAAUAAGGAAGAAUCAAAAACAGUAGCUAGAUGUGGUCUAGGCAAAAGGAUUAAAGCAGAAAAGAUCCGCAGGAGCAUUCUCAGGAGUCUUAAUGUUACUACAAAGCAGGAACAGAUAUUUGCAUUAAAUCAGGAGCCGUCUUCGUCUUCUUGGAAAAUUGAGUAUCUCAUUGUUUUAACCAGAUCUCCUGUGGGGGGGAAAACAGCUCCUUUAUUGAUGUAGAUUAUCCAGAAUUCCUGUCUGCAUUUAUCAAGGAAGGUUCACAGGUUCAUUAUUAAAAAUAAUUUGUUUUAUAUGUGAAGCUGCUUGUUUAGAAAUUACCAUAAACUGGAAUGGUGUUGCUAAAUUAUCUUUGGACUAUUAAAGAGGCAGGUUAUGGAAUUUUUGCUCUAGUCGAGAAAUCGAUUGCUAUAUCCAAGGUUUCGAAAGAGCAUAUUAAUGACUGACAAGUUUUUUAUAGUGUUUGGUUUCCUUUUUCCUACUAUGUCAGUAGCCCCUCUUGCACAGUUCAUAUGCUGAAGUCAUGUGUAAAACUUUGCAAAGAUGUAUUUCCCUUUUAAUUUUAGAUCAAUAAGUAUAUUGUGUAAUUACUUUCUUUUUACCUUCCUUUUAAAUCUAGAUAUAUUGUCCAAGUUUUUUAUUAUUGUUACAAGUGUUGUUGUUGUGGUGGUGGUUGUUGUCUGUACAGUGUGUAAUUCCAUUAUCUAAAUAGAAACUAUUACUAAUUUUAAAAUAAUAAUGUUAUUUGUUUAAUUAAAUCAUUAAAAAUUAUUUAAUUUAAAAAGAAAGAAACUCACUGUUUGCAGCAAACUGACGAAGCACUGCAUUUUCCAAUUUGGGGCGAAGAAUAAGGACAGACAUUUUGAUACCGUAAAGUACAGAAGCCUCCUUGACGUUGGCAUUGAGAUCGAGUCCUAAUCCCUCUGGUGUAUCCUAGCAAAAGAAAAAAAAUAUAGGGAUAUGAGAUCCACCCCUGCCCCACACCAACAAAUGAAUUACCUGGAUCAGGAAAGAGCAUCAAGAAGAGGACAAGGAAGAGAAACCCAUAAAUCUUCAUAGUGAUGCAAAAUAAACUGCUGAUAUUUGAUUGUGA